rnacentral:rRNA from 1 species
GACGAACGCUGGCGGCGCGCCUAACACAUGCAAGUCGAACGAGCGAGCGAGAGCUUUCUUUCUCGCGCGAGUGGCGAACGGGUGAGUAACGCGUGAGGAACCUGCCUCUAAGUGGGGGACAACUGCUGGAAACGACUGCUAAUACCGCAUAAGACCACGGCCUGGCAUCGAGCGGGGGGAAAAUGAGCAAUCCGCUUUGAGAUGGCCUCGCGUCCGAUUAGCUAGUUGGUGUGGUAACGGCCCACCAAGGCGACGAUCGGUGGCCGGGCUGGGAGGUUGAACGACUAGAAUGGGGCUGAGGCACGGCCCAGACUGCUACGGAAGGCAGCAGUAGGGAGUAUUGCACAAUGAGGGAAAACGUGAUACAGCGACGCCGCGGAGAAGAAGAAGGUCUUCGGAUUGUAAACUCCUGUUGUAGGAGAAGAGAAUGACGGUAACCAACAAGGAAGUGACGGCUAACUACGUG